CCUACGGGUGGCAGCAGUGGGGAAUAUUGCACAAUGGGGGAAACCCUGAUGCAGCGACGCCGCGUGAGUGAAGAAGUAUUUCGGUAUGUAAAGCUCUAUCAGCAGGGAAGAAAUAAAGUCCUUCGGACUUUGGACGGUACCUGACUAAGAAGCCCCGGCUAACUACGUGCCAGCAGCAGCGGUAAUACGUAGGGGGCAAGCGUUAUCCGGAUUUACUGGGGGUAAAGGGAGUGUAGAAGGCAGGGCAAGUCUGGAGGGAAAUCCCAUGGCUUAACCAUGGACCUGCUUUGGAAACUGGGGAGCUGGAGUGCAGGAGAGGUAAGCGGAAUUCCUGGUGUAGCGGUGAAAUGCGUAGAUAUUAGGAGGAACACCAGUGGCGAAGGCGGCUUACUGGAGUGUAACUGACGUUGAGGCUCGAAAGCGUGGGGAGCAAACAGGAUUAGAUACCCGUGUAGUC
rnacentral:rRNA from 1 species